AUUGAACGCUGGCGGCAUGCUUUACACAUGCAAGUCGAACGGUAACAGACCUUCGGGUGCUGACGAGUGGCGAACGGGUGAGUAAUGCAUCGGAACGUGCCCAGAGGUGGGGGAUAACGCAGCGAAAGCUGUGCUAAUACCGCAUGUGAUCUGAGGAUGAAAGCGGGGGACCAGGCAGCAAUGUUUGGCCUCGCGCCUUUGGAGCGGCCGAUGUCAGAUUAGGUAGUUGGUGGGGUAAAGGCCUACCAAGCCGACGAUCUGUAGCUGGUCUGAGAGGACGACCAGCCACACUGGGACUGAGACACGGCCCAGACUCCUACGGGAGGCAGCAGUGGGGAAUUUUGGACAAUGGGCGCAAGCCUGAUCCAGCAAUGCCGCGUGCGGGAAGAAGGCCUUCGGGUUGUAAACCGCUUUUGUACGGAACGAAAAGGCUCUGGCUAAUACCUGGGGCUGAUGACGGUACCGUAAGAAUAAGCACCGGCUAACUACGUG
rnacentral:rRNA from 1 species